rnacentral:rRNA from 1 species
CCUACGGGGAGCAGCAGUGAGGAAUAUUGGUCAAUGGGCGCAAGCCUGAACCAGCCAAGUCGCGUGAGGGAUGACGGUCCUAUGGAUUGUAAACCUCUUUUGUCGGGGAGCAAGGCCCGCCACGUGUGGCGGGAAGGAGAGUACCCGAAGAAAAAGCAUCGGCUAACUCCGUGCCAGCAGCCGCGGUAAUACGGAGGAUGCGAGCGUUAAUCGGAAUUACUGGGCGUAAAGGGUGUGCAGGCGGCUGAGUAAGACAGAUGUGAAAUCCCCGGGCUUAACCUGGGAACCGCAUAUGUGACUGCUUGGCUAGAGUGCGUCAGAGGGAGGUGGAAUUCCACGUGUAGCAGUGAAAUGCGUAGAUAUGUGGAAGAACACCGAUGGCGAAGGCAGCCUCCUGGGACGCAACUGACGCUCAUACACGAAAGCGUGGGGAGCAAACAGGAUUAGAUACCCGAGUAGUC